rnacentral:rRNA from 1 species
UACGUAGGGACCAAGCGUUGUCCGGAAUCAUUGGGCGUAAAGAGCGUGUAGGCGGCUUGCUAAGUCUUGCGUGAAAUCUCGGGGCUCAACCCCGAGCGGUCGUGAGAAACUGGCAGGCUAGAGUGCGGGAGAGGAGAGUGGAAUUCCUGGUGUAGCGGUGAAAUGCGCAGAUAUCAGGAAGAACACCCGUGGCGAAGGCGGCUCUCUGGAACGCAACUGACGCUGAGACGCGAAAGCGUGGGGAGCAAACAGG